AGAUGCUGAGGGACGUUCCCUCUAUCCCUGUACUCUGAAGGGUUUGGAUCUGCCAUGGAUGCCGUAUUUUGUCAAAUGCUUCCUCUGCGUCUCUUGAGAGGAUCAUCUGGUUCUUGUUUUCUCUCUUGCAGAUCUGAUGAAGCCCAUCGAGUGUUCUCCGAGUGCUGAAGCAGCCUUGCACCCUGGCGAUUAACCCCACUGGGUCGUGAUCUGAUGAAGCCCAUCGAGUGUUCUCCGAGUGCUGAAGCAGCCUUGCACCCUGGCGAUUAACCCCACUGGGUCGUGAUCUGAUGAAGCCCAUCGAGUGUUCUCCGAGUGCUGAAGCAGCCUUGCACCCUGGCGAUUAACCCCACUGGGUCGUGAUCUGAUCAGUCACAUGGAGUGUUUGACAAGUGUUGAACCAGCCUUGCAUCCCGGGGAUAAAUGCUACCUGGUCACGGU